rnacentral:rRNA from 1 species
GGACGGGUGAGUAACGCGUGAGGAACCUGCCUCAAAGAGGGGACAACAGUUGGAAACGACUGCUAAUACCGCAUAAGCCCACGGGUCGGCAUCGACCAGAGGGAAAAGGAGCAAUCCGCUUUGAGAUGGCCUCGCGUCCGAUUAGCUAGUUGGUGAGGUAAUGGCCCACCAAGGCAACGAUCGGUAGCCGGACUGAGAGGUUGAACGGCCACAUUGGGACUGAGACACGGCCCAGACUCCUACGGGAGGCAGCAUG